rnacentral:lncRNA from 1 species
GAUUAACAUGGACUUUUCAAUAAUUAUUGUUUUUGACCUUUUACUUUAGUGAAAAUCUUAUAGAAAAUAAAGGAUAAAAGGAAAAAAUUGUAUUUUUGUUUUUGUUGUUAACUUUUGAGAAUGAACAUAUAUUCUGAGACAUCUCAAAAAUAAUAUAAUAAAAAUCAACAAUAUGCCACGGGACAGUAUGAUUUUAGCAACAUCACCUUCUGAAUUUUCCUCCAGUAUCCUCGGUUCCAACCUCUCAAAACUAUUAAUCAAACUGUCCCAUUGCCUCUUCUUCUGCCUCUCUGACGCGUUUUCCCGAAGUCCUGCGCUGUGCAUCGAUGUACCUGGAAUUGAACGACGGGGGCAGUUGAGACCCUAGUCAUUUCAAUAGUAAAAAUCGGGCAACCGGGCGCACGAAGGUCUCGGACUCCGAAACAACACUCUCGUGUGCCUCUUGAAACAUGUAAUUGCGGCGAGCACAAGAGAGUGAAGCAGCUCAUCUCCCGUUCGAACAGAUUCUUCGGGAACCUGGAUUUUCCGGGCAGUUUGGCAACCCAUGGGAGACUUUGUCUGCUAUUUGCAACUUGGGCACGGUUCGAGCUGCCCUGUAAUCGCUCGAACGGUUGUUGCACACAACUCCAUUCCGAUAGAAAAUUCUUUAGUAAGUCAUAAGGGGAUGGUCCUCGAUCGGACGGAUUCGCAUCCCUCUGGUAUGCGACCUCUGUAUCAGGAACGGGACAGAAGGAGCGGAGGGGGAGUCCGGCAGAGGCGGUUCGGUGGAUGGUCGGGCGGAUGCUGGCAGCCAAUGAGCGUGUGGUGUAUGAGCUGGUGUUAGUGCCCGUGGUGGACUAGUAAUGUGGCCCAUUUCCUACCUAGGGAUGACGUGACCGGGGGACAUGAGAGGGAAUAGAACAAAGUGUAGGUGGUGAUGGUGGUCGUUGUUGAGUGAAUGCAGGUGUCUUUGACCCCUGGAGGCAGCCUAGUCGUGCCUCGCGAGCGUCGCGUUUCAUUGUGCCCGCCUUCUGUCUUUGUUCUGAACCUCGACACUUGACUCUCUUUUGCCCUCUGCUCUUGAUUACCAUUUGCAGACUGAGUCCCCGGUCUUCCCUCUCCGUGCAAUUUUCUUCUCUGUCUGCCACUCUCUUUUGAACCUGUUGUCAUGUCAGCAGCCUACAUGAGCACAGGAUUCUUUUUCCUUUAAUAAAUAAUAUGUUAUAUAUUUUUUUUUCAAGAAGGAUGGCACGUGGUUUUAAACAUCACUCUCGUUUGAAUUUUGGUCAACUAUGCGUUUUUAGCCACUAGAUGUUGUGCAACCGAAUUGCUGGUUUUACACGACACUCUCCAAUAAACAACUGGUAAAUCCAAAAGUAGGACAGUUCAACAGUUCAUAUUAAAUAUAGUAAAAUGCUAAUUAACUUACUAAUUACUGCUAAAUAUGUAUAAGUAACAACUGUUUCAACCAACAUGGUAAAAACAAUGUCUAUAAAGUCUAUUAAAAGUGUCUUCCAUCGGCGUGUGCCGUGUGGUGGUUUAGCGGACCCCCGUUGAAAGGUGUACCAUGGUUAGCAAUCAACGUUAAAUAUUUUGUAUGCAUAUUUUUUGAUCUAAUUUUGGGUAAGGCGAAAAGAAUGAUGGGAAAUAAGUUUAAUGAGAUGGGAAAUAAGUAUUUUUUUUACCUUUUUCUUUUCCUUUCUUUUAACGGUGAGGUCAGGAGAAAUUAAGAGAAAGUAAAAUAACCCUAAUGUUACAAAAAUAUGAACUUUAUUCCAUUUAUUUGGGAUCGUAAAAUAUCAACUUUUAUAUUUAGUGUUUCUCCACAUAAAGACAGAUUUAGUUGUCCCUAAUUAAAAUUACCCUUUUCAUAAUUCUUUCUUUCUGUGACUUGAAAAACGAAACAUUGACAUCUCUAGAUUGCACUUUUCUCUUCUUCUUUUAUUUUAGGAAAUGGUAAUCAUUACACCUCCAUACCUUUCACGUGGGCGACACUUCUCCGAGCCCACACUGAUAAUUUCGAUUAUUUUGCUCAUAAAGUUUCUUGGUAAGAAUAAAAUCACAUGUACUUACCAGCGCUAUCCGGCUAGGGAGAAUUGCCCACAAUGUUUGUCUCCAUACCACGAGCUCGGUGGGUCUCUAAGUUGGAUCUCGAUCGAGACGCAACACAGCUUGGCAACUGCGACCCAAGGAACAUCAGGGGAACAGAGGAUAACUUACACGUCAGGGUCCUUCUAGCAGGCCCCCACGCCUGAAUCAAACCUCGACGACCAUGAGUGACUAAGCUACAACUAAGGUCCUAGAGGAAUGGUUUGGGUCAUCAGUUACCUCGCUGACACAACCGUCAUGUGUUCAGCCCACGCGUCGAGCUGCAGACUGUUCAGUUACGUGACAGUUGGACGCGCCAGACUGAACUAUAUAUGGCCAGGCUUUAUGCUUUCAGAGGUAUGCGAAUUUAGCUCCAAGAAGCUGACACACACUCUCUCUCUACAACAUUGAUUCUCUGGUCAUCUAACUUGACCUCGGAGAGUCGUUUCCUAAAAAUAACUCCGGCGUCCUAACUCCCCCGUUUUUUUUUGUGGUCGCGCUAGGCAUUCGCACAAACCGGCAAUCGUUUGUAGCCACCACUAUACCACCGCGGGUGUCUAUUCUCGAUUUUCUUUCUUCUAACUCUCAAACAUUAUACCCCAUAAUUGGCACUGUUUGUGAAAAAUUUUGUAGUGAAAAUAUAUUUUAUAUAUAAAGAUGUGUUUAUAAAAUUGGUAAUGGGUUCAUAUAUUAUUUCAAACACUUAGAAUGUAAUAGAUCUAAGUAUUACUUGUACCAAGUAAUAUUGUUUAUAAAUAAUCAAAGAUCUAUACAAUUUCAAAUUUGAUCUUAAAAAUGUCAUUAAUCAAUCAUAGACAACCAUUGAAACCAUGUUGAAAGAGAGAAGAAAUUAGUUCAAAUUAAGGUUUAGAAUGUGACGUAGUUCUUGAAGCAAACCAAUAAAUUUUAGCCCCCUCCCACGGAAUAGAGAGUGUUUCGUCUAUGUGCAAGCUAAUUAAAGUAAGAGAAACUAACAUGAAAUUAAGAAAGAGCUGGAAAAAAAUAGUAUAGUAUUAAUGGAAAAGUCUGUAAAAUUAAAUAAGGAAAAACUUACAAUCAUUAAGUGAAGGAAUAGAAUCCGAAUGAAAAAAUAUAAAAAUGGAACCUCAAAACUAUCUAAUCUAAUAUAAUUCUAAAACUAGACUAAAAAUGAAAGUUAUCUUCACUUAAAAAACACUAAAGCGAUGUAUGGAGGACCCCCCUCUACUGUGAAAGAGAGCCCCACUUCUAUACUAAAGUGAGAGAGAGCUCCCCACUCUUUAGAAAAAUGUCACAGAAAAAGUCCUAUAAAAUCUCUUUUUGUAUGGAGGGAGGUUCCCUUUUCUAGAGUGAGAGAGGACCCUCCUUUUUGACCCCCAUUUUCUUCUUAUUAACUGGUUUCUCCAACUGCUUCUGCAGUAGUUGCCUCUAUGUCAAAAGCAACUAAAGUAUCUAACUUUGCCCACCAACCCAUAUCAUUUCUGACCUUGCUAGGAGCUAUCUGGACAUGUGAUCAACAACCAUCUAUGCUCCAACGGUUUGGAGCUUGAAAGUCUCAAGACGGUUUGAACUUAACUUGGUUUGGCCUCUAAUCAUUGCCUUCAACAGUUGAACUUUAGGUUAAGAUCGAUCGGUUGAAUUUUCUCUGAUCUCUCUAAUUGCUCUUUUUGACCUGCAAAAAUUAUUUUAAAUUCACUGCCCGCCAAAACAAGUGGUUAAUUGAAGAUAAUAUGCAAUAAUGCUAAAAUACGAAAGAAAGUUUUUAAUUGAUAAAAUGCAAUUUAAACUGUGUGAAUCACACACCCCGACUUGAGUUUGCUCGUUCCUUAGCAACUAGAAAUAGCUUCGGAAUUUCUACCGCAUAGCUGUGGGCAACUCUUCCUUGGAUCGCAGCAGCGGAAGAUCCAGUUUCAUCUUUCGGCGGAUAGCUGAAUCCAAUUUGGAUUGCUCUCCAGGAACUGAUUUUCUUUUGGACUUUCUUAAUCUAAGAGGGAUUGUUGCUUCAUGACGGUCCGAGAUUAGUUGUAAGCUCUCUGAAGGCUGCUGCCCAAAACAAACCCAAAGAAAUCGAUACGUGUUUCACCAAUAUAUAACUAACUAAAAACGCUAGGGUAAUAACAUCCUUACUGAACCUAUUGCCAAAUCACUUAGAAGGUUUUGAUACCCGUUUUGAGAUAACUCCUCCUAAUUACUAGGUCUCGCAAAGGCCAACAACGUCUUAGGGCAUAACUGCCUGUGCAAAAGGCCAGUUGGUAUUCACGGGUCAUUGGCAAAAUAAGCACGGUAAACCUGCCAUGUCGAGCAUCCGGCAGUAACAAAAUCAGGCUUUCACGGCUCGAUGAGCGCACUAGAGGACGGGAGGAACGCUGAGCCCGUUUUCCCCUUAUGCUUUUGCUUCUUCGAGGGACCCCCAGUAAGUUACUUCCCUUUGCUCUUAUAUAAAGGGGGGCCUCUGAUAAGCUCAACUCGACCUCACUAAGAGUAGCAGCAGCCAAGACGGGCUGCGAAGACGGUGGUGAGACUUGAACGGCUAGAGGUUUUGGCCAACACGCAGUUAACCAACCCCUGCAAAUCAUCUUACUAUGGCCCAGGGUCUGAACUUGGGCCAGAUUCACCUCGCUCUAGCUUGUACCCCUACCGCCCUGCGCCUUCUAAUGGACAGGCGAUCAAGUCCUCACCCAUAGGGCUCGAGCUCAAAGAGAAAGCAAGGUCGUCAGAAUCUUCAAUGUGCCACUCCAAACCAGAAUGGAGACAACAACUGGAACUGCGGGGAGGCAAUAGGUUGUCCUCUUCUCCUCGUGUUCAGCACUAGCUGGUUGACCUCCUCUUCUUCUUCCUCAUUGUUUGAAGAAUUAGACGAAACGAAGCUGGACGAGCUUGAAGACCGACAACAUGAUUGACUAAGCUACUAACCAGGUCCUAGAGGAAUGGUUGGGUCACCCGUCUACUCACUG